rnacentral:rRNA from 1 species
CCCUUAGAUGUUCUGGGCCGCACGCGUGUUACAAUCGGGAGUACAACAAGAUUGCAAAUCCUAGUGGAUGAGUGGUUCUUCGAAAUUUUCUGAAGACUGGGAUAGUUGAUUGAAAUUAUUCAACUCGAACGAGGAAUUCCUUGUAAUUGUAAUUCAUUAUAUUGUAAUGAAUACGUCCCUGCCCUUUGUACACACUGCCCGUCGCUCCUACCGAUUGAACGAUCCGGUGAAUUAUUUGGAGUAGCUCUGGAAGUUGCAGAACUUCCUAUGUCACGAAAUUUUGUAAACCUUAUCGUUUAGAGGAAGGAAAAGUCGUAACA